GCUGUGAGCUCGAUGAGUAGGGCGGGACACGUGGUAUCCUGUCUGAAUAUGGGGGGACCAUCCUCCAAGGCUAAAUACUCCUGACUGACCGAUAGUGAACCAGUACCGUGAGGGAAAGGCGAAAAGAACCCCGGCGAGGGGAGUGAAAAAGAACCUGAAACCGUGUACGUACAAGCAGUGGGAGCACGCUUAGGCGUGUGACUGCGUACCUUUUGUAUAAUGGGUCAGCGACUUAUAUUCUGUAGCAAGGUUAACCGAAUAGGGGAGCCGAAGGGAAACCGAGUCUUAACUGGGCGUUAAGUUGCAGGGUAUAGACCCGAAACCCGGUGAUCUAGCCAUGGGCAGGUUGAAGGUUGGGUAACACUAACUGGAGGACCGAACCGACUAAUGUUGAAAAAUUAGCGGAUGACUUGUGGCUGGGGGUGAAAGGCCAAUCAAACCGGGAGAUAGCUGGUUCUCCCCGAAAGCUAUUUAGGUAGCGCCUCGUGAAUUCAUCUCCGGGGGUAGAGCACUGUUUCGGCAAGGGGGUCAUCCCGACUUACCAACCCGAUGCAAACUGCGAAUACCGGAGAAUGUUAUCACGGGAGACACACGGCGGGUGCUAACGUCCGUCGUGAAGAGGGAAACAACCCAGACCGCCAGCUAAGGUCCCAAAGUCAUGGUUAAGUGGGAAACGAUGUGGGAAGGCCCAGACAGCCAGGAUGUUGGCUUAGAAGCAGCCAUCAUUUAAAGAAAGCGUAAUAGCUCACUGGUCGAGUCGGCCUGCGCGGAAGAUGUAACGGGGCUAAACCAUGCACCGAAGCUGCGGCAGCGACGCUUAUGCGUUGUUGGGUAGGGGAGCGUUCUGUAAGCCUGUGAAGGUGUGCUGUGAGGCAUGCUGGAGGUAUCAGAAGUGCGAAUGCUGACAUAAGUAACGAUAAAGCGGGUGAAAAGCCCGCUCGCCGGAAGACCAAGGGUUCCUGUCCAACGUUAAUCGGGGCAGGGUGAGUCGACCCCUAAGGCGAGGCCGAAAGGCGUAGUCGAUGGGAAACAGGUUAAUAUUCCUGUACUUGGUGUUACUGCGAAGGGGGGACGGAGAAGGCUAUGUUGGCCGGGCGACGGUUGUCCCGGUUUAAGCGUGUAGGCUGGUUUUCCAGGCAAAUCCGGAAAAUCAAGGCUGAGGCGUGAUGACGAGGCACUACGGUGCUGAAGCAACAAAUGCCCUGCUUCCAGGAAAAGCCUCUAAGCAUCAGGUAACAUCAAAUCGUACCCCAAACCGACACAGGUGGUCAGGUAGAGAAUACCAAGGCGCUUGAGAGAACUCGGGUGAAGGAACUAGGCAAAAUGGUGCCGUAACUUCGGGAGAAGGCACGCUGAUAUGUAGGUGAAGUCCCUCGCGGAUGGAGCUGAAAUCAGUCGAAGAUACCAGCUGGCUGCAACUGUUUAUUAAAAACACAGCACUGUGCAAACACGAAAGUGGACGUAUACGGUGUGACGCCUGCCCGGUGCCGGAAGGUUAAUUGAUGGGGUCAGCGCAAGCGAAGCUCUUGAUCGAAGCCCCGGUAAACGGCGGCCGUAACUAUAACGGUCCUAAGGUAGCGAAAUUCCUUGUCGGGUAAGUUCCGACCUGCACGAAUGGCGUAAUGAUGGCCAGGCUGUCUCCACCCGAGACUCAGUGAAAUUGAACUCGCUGUGAAGAUGCAGUGUACCCGCGGCAAGACGGAAAGACCCCGUGAACCUUUACUAUAGCUUGACACUGAACAUUGAGCCUUGAUGUGUAGGAUAGGUGGGAGGCUUAGAAGUGUGGACGCCAGUCUGCAUGGAGCCGACCUUGAAAUACCACCCUUUAAUGUUUGAUGUUCUAACGUUGACCCGUAAUCCGGGUUGCGGACAGUGUCUGGUGGGUAGUUUGACUGGGGCGGUCUCCUCCUAAAGAGUAACGGAGGAGCACGAAGGUUGGCUAAUCCUGGUCGGACAUCAGGAGGUUAGUGCAAUGGCAUAAGCCAGCUUGACUGCGAGCGUGACGGCGCGAGCAGGUGCGAAAGCAGGUCAUAGUGAUCCGGUGGUUCUGAAUGGAAGGGCCAUCGCUCAACGGAUAAAAGGUACUCCGGGGAUAACAGGCUGAUACCGCCCAAGAGUUCAUAUCGACGGCGGUGUUUGGCACCUCGAUGUCGGCUCAUCACAUCCUGGGGCUGAAGUAGGUCCCAAGGGUAUGGCUGUUCGCCAUUUAAAGUGGUACGCGAGCUGGGUUUAGAACGUCGUGAGACAGUUCGGUCCCUAUCUGCCGUGGGCGCUGGAGAACUGAGGGGGGCUGCUCCUAGUACGAGAGGACCGGAGUGGACGCAUCACUGGUGUUCGGGUUGUCAUGCCAAUGGCACUGCCCGGUAGCUAAAUGCGGAAGAGAUAAGUGCUGAAAGCAUCUAAGCACGAAACUUGCC
rnacentral:rRNA from 1 species